rnacentral:misc_RNA from 1 species
CACUUCGCGCGUGCACAUACUCUUCAGCUAAGCAGCACCAGGCAUACCUUGCGUCCCGCGUUGUGCACAGACGUACUCACAUGCACGAACAUAUGUGUACAUGCUAACGCACGCACACUGUUUAGCGAGCUACACCGACACACACCCACCCACCCACCCCCGCACACACACACACACACACACACACACACACACACACACACACAGGUAAGCGUAAUGGCGCAGCAGCGGGGAAAGAAGGCAGCGCUGUCAAAGGCAGCCGUGGCAAAUGCGUCUGCAAGUGCGCCUGACCCGCCGCCGUUCUUUUCCAUGAGGCCCGCUACCUUCACCGACGCCAUCGUCAUCACCAAGGUCAUUUCGGUCGUGCUGCCACUGCGCCACUUGCGUGACCGCAACAUCCUGCAUGCGACGCUUCUGAAGAAGUUGCUCCAUCGCCCCUACGAGGCAUCUGCAGAGGACCUCGCCCAACAGCAGCUCUUGCAACAGGAGGCCGAAGAUGGCGCCAAGCAUAGCCGCGGUGCACACAGAGCUCUCGACAACCGUGCGGCGCCCACGUCGUCAUCUUCGUCGACACCCUACGUGAUUGUCCACAUCAAGUCCGCUGAGAUUCACGCCGACACGGCUCGCCAGGUAAACCCGCGCGGCGAUGUGCAGGUGAACAUGAUGGUGACCCUUGUCGCAGCUCGCCUCCAACACGGGAUCUGCGCCGGUGUCUCGGAGGCGUCGCCGUUCACGUCGUGCAUGCAAGUGCGGGUACCGACAGUGGCCGUGUCCGCCGCGGUGGCAGCCAGGGGCAGUACGGACGAUGCAGCAACGCUGUUACUCGGAGAUGCUUCGGAGGCAGGCACCGAUAAUGUGUCGCAGGAGGGGGUCAAAGACGAGAAGGCAGAGCCGAGCGGUGACGAUGCAGCGCUCGAUGCCUCCUUGCCAGCCACCACGACGGCUGCUGCCGCGAAGCGCAGAUGCUGCACUGGUGUCCCUGAGGAUCAACAGCUGCGCGUGACAGCGCGGUGCCUAGAGGACGAGCCGAUCGUGCCAGGUCAAGCAGUCUUGCUCAUCUCCGAGCCGGCCGCUAUGCGCUGCAUGGGCAUCCGGCCGCCGCGUGCAGCGCCAGGCCCAUUUUACCUAACAGAAACGACGCAACCGGCGGCUCAGUUCUCCAGCGGGGAGGCAGAGGGCGGGCCUGAGGCGAGGCCGAAGAAGCGCGCACGCAAGCCACGCGCGUCCGCCGGUGGCACAGGUGGUGCUACACCAGCGCGUCGUAUCGUGUCCAUCGAGUGCGCCAUCCCGAAAAGAGAGGAGGAUGGGGAGGGCGGCGCAGCAGCAAGCACCCGCAAGGGCCCGCGUAAGCGACCACACACCUAAUCGAAGUCAUUGUGGGUGACGGGGCCAAAGGUAUGGAGAGCAGGCGCGCAGAGGGUUGAGCGAAAGGGAAAGUCGGGAAGGAGGUGAGGGGUGGUGGACAACGACAUCCCCAUGGCUUGUCUGCGCUGAUUUUGCGCUCGCUACCGCGACGCAUUUACCUCCGCGCAUGUUUUCUCUGUCUCACGCUCGGCCACCUCCAGAUCUCUUUCCCUCAUCGCUUGCCAUACGUUCAUCUAACAACAUCUACGCCCGCACGUUGGCGGUUGUGCACGUGAGGGCAUGUCUUGUCCUUCGCCGACCCCUCCCCUGUGCCCCUCUUUCUCCGUCGCUACUUUACAGCUCGCUUAAAAAAACGUGCGAAGGCGCAUGCACGAAGGUAAACUCUGAAUCAAGCAUCGAUACAGGCGAUGGAGACGUGACAAUGACCACUGCGCGACUGUUUGUG